ACGAACGCUGGCGGCGUGCUUAACACAUGCAAGUCGAACGCGAAAGGGACUUCGGUCCUGAGUAAAGUGGCGCACGGGUGAGUAACGCGUAGAUAACCUGUCUUCAUGGUCUGGAAUAAUACGCCGAAAGGGGUACUAAUACCGGAUAUUCUUGCUUUUCAUAAGUUAUGCAAGCAAAGGUGGCCUCUGCAUAUGCUACUGCAUGAAGAGGGGUCUGCGUACCAUUAGCUAGUAGGUGGGGUAAUGGCCUACCUAGGCGACGAUGGUUAGCGGGUCUGAGAGGAUGAUCCGCCACACUGGCACUGGAACACGGGCCAGACUCCUACGGGAGGCAGCAGUGAGGAAUAUUGCGCAAUGGGGGAAACCCUGACGCAGCGACGCCGCGUGAGUGAAGGAAGGCCUUCGGGUCGUAAAGCUCUGUCAAGAGGAAAGAAGUGUACAAUGGCUAAUACCUGUUGUAUUUGACGGUACCUCUAAAGGAAGCACCGGCUAACUCCGUGCCAGCCGCUGC
rnacentral:rRNA from 1 species